AGCGAACGCUGGCGGCAGGCCUAACACAUGCAAGUCGAACGAAGUCUUCGGACUUAGUGGCGGACGGGUGCGUAACACGUGGGAACGUGCCUUUAGGUGCGGAAUAACUCAGGGAAACUUGUGCUAAUACCGAAUGUGCCCUUCGGGGGAAAGAUUUAUCGCCUUUAGAGCGGCCCGCGUCUGAUUAGCUAGUUGGUGAGGUAAAGGCUCACCAAGGCUACGAUCAGUAGCUGGUCUGAGAGGGGGACAAGCCACAUUUGGACUGAGACACGGCCCAACCUCCUACGGUAGGCAGCAGUGCGGAAACUUGCGCAAUGGGCGAAAGCCUCACGCAGCCAUGCCGCGUGGAUGAUGAAGGACUUAGGAGUGUAAAAUCCUUUCACCGGUGAGGAUAAUGGCUGUUGCCGGAGAAGAAGCCCCGGCUAACUUCGUGCCAGCCGCCGCCGUAAAAC
rnacentral:rRNA from 1 species